GACGAACGCUGGCAGCGUGCUUAACACAUGCAAGUCAAACGGAAAGGCCCUGCUUUUGUGGGGUGCUCGAGUGGCGAACGGGUGAGUAACACGUGAGUAACCUGCCCUUGACUUUGGGAUAACUUCAGGAAACUGGGGCUAAUACCGGAUAGGAGCUCCUGCUGCAUGGUGGGGGUUGGAAAGUUUCGGCGGUUGGGGAUGGACUCGCGGCUUAUCAGCUUGUUGGUGGGGUAGUGGCUUACCAAGGCUUUGACGGGUAGCCGGCCUGAGAGGGUGACCGGCCACAUUGGGACUGAGAUACGGCCCAGACUCCUACGGGAGGCAGCAGUGGGGAAUAUUGCACAAUGGGCGGAAGCCUGAUGCAGCAACGCCGCGUGCGGGAUGACGGCCUUCGGGUUGUAAACCGCUUUCGCCUGUGACGAAGCGUGAGUGACGGUAAUGGGUAAAGAAGCACCGGCUAACUACGUG
rnacentral:rRNA from 1 species